UCACGGUGGCACUCAAAGCUCCUACCCGUUCCCAGCUGGAGACCGGUCCCAUUGAAAAUGGAUAGAUACGCAAAAAUCCAACGUGCUGAGGUGGCUCUCUAAACUAGAGAUGAAUUUAAUGAGAAGAGUAUCAAAUCUUCCAAAGGAGGUAUAAGGAAUUAUGAUACGUAGCAUGCUUCACUCCAUCCCUCGCCUAUAAAAAUGGCACACAUCCAACAGUCUCCUCAUCACCCAACUUACAAUCUCAACCACAUACCUGUAAUAAAACCGGCAAAAAAAUGGCCCCUUCCAGCUUCAUCAAACGACUCAUAAUGGCCCUUGUCUUGGUGGCUUUCAUCCUUUCUUCCGUCUCUGUUAAAAACGUGGGAGCUCAGCCUCACUGCAUAGGAGACUGUGUGGGCUUUGAAAAUUGCGACCAGGCGUGCUAUGAUAAGGGUUAUUCAGGGGGGAGCUGCCAAGUUGUUGGUCAUGUCAUUGACUGCUGUUGCCGUGAUUAGCCUCUCUUCUUAUCUCUUCUCACCUUUAAUUUUCAUCUAUUGUUGCGCUACAAGACGAUGCAUAAUAAGUGAAUAAAACUGAUGGGGUAUAUACAUACCCUUUUCUCCUUUUAAA